rnacentral:rRNA from 1 species
AUCCUGGCUUAGGAUGAACGCUGGCGGCGUGCUUAACACAUGCAAGUCGAACGAGGCUAAGAUUCGGUUUAAGCCGAGUGGCGGACGGGUGAGUAACGCGUGGGUAACCUGCCGUAUGCAGGGGGACAACAGUUAGAAAUGACUGCUAAUACCGCAUAAGCUUACAGUAUCGCAUGAUACAGUGAGAAAAGAUUUAUCGGCAUACGAUGGACCCGCGUCUGAUUAGCUAGUUGGUGAGGUAACGGCCCACCAAGGCGACGAUCAGUAGCCGACCUGAGAGGGUGACCGGCCACAUUGGGACUGAGACACGGCCCAAACUCCUACGGGAGGCAGCAGUGGGGAAUAUUGCACAAUGGGCGCAAGCCUGAUGCAAGCGACGCCGCGUGAGUGAUGAAGUAUUUCGGUACGUAAAGCUCUAUCAGCAGGGAAGAUAAUGACGGUACCUGACUAAGAAGCCCCGGCUAACUACGUGCCAGCCGCGGC